rnacentral:tRNA from 1 species
CAAGAAGUAGUUUAACAAGAAUUCCAGCUUUGGGUGCUGGCGGUGGGGAGUUA